rnacentral:tRNA from 1 species
GGGCCCGUAGCUCAGUGGUAGAGCGCUCGCUUUGCAUGCGAGAGGUCUGGGGUUCAAAUCCCUACGGGUCCA